rnacentral:SRP_RNA from 1 species
UCAUACCAGCCGGGGAGUCAGCGGUGCCUUGUCACCUGCAAUCCGCUACAGCAGGGGUGGAUCCCCUUCGGAGGGUUAGGUGUGUACGUUUGCGCCGUCUUCUUCCGUGAUGAAGGAUUGGUCUUGCGCAAUCAAAGUCUGUGAACCAUGUCAGGCGGGGAACCGAGCAGCAUUAAGCAUGAUUUUUGAUGUGCCGUGAGGGUGCCUGUCCGGAGCGGCGGGAUUCGGAAUGCGCGUGUGGACUUACACUCGAAAGAGGGUGUAUGA